CGGAGCAACACACUAAGUCAUCGGAUCCAGAGUAAUGAGAGUGGAACCAUUAAAAAGAGAAGCACCACAGACUCCUAUGGUUGCACACGAUGGGAGCCUGAACUUCCAGCUGGUGAAAGUUAUGACAGCCUUGAAGUGAAGCGUCAAAGAAUGGAGGAGAUAUUUCUUCAUGAGGGAAGCACUGGAGCAGACAGAGGAGAAGUUCGUAAGUUGAUGGAGGAAACAUAUUGCUACCAGCGUCGAAUGAUAAAUGCCAUCCCGUCUCCUACCAUUGCCAAUUUGAAAACAAAAUGGCCAUACCUCUUCAUGCAGAGGUAUAUGAAUAGUCAUUUUGAACUACUCACUGACAGAAAUGUCCUCAGCCAUUUGGAAAUGUCAUUUAAAGAAUGUGGGAAACUCAUUACUGAGUAUUUUAAAGCCAAGCCAACUAAUACCAUUGUUCAGAAUGUCCUAACCAGGGGUGAAGAGGAUGUGGCUGCCUGUGUCUUGCAGCUACUCCUUGCACAUUUUGAGGAGAAAAUGGAUGGGCUCAUCCUUCAAACAGAUGCAUUUGCCACAUCAGCAGACAUCCACGGAACACUCAACUUGCUUGGCAGUCCUUGACUGAUAAUUCUUGGUCAAAAUCUAAGUAACCAGCGGUGGAUGGUGAGCAUUGAAGGUCACGUUGUAUGUGAAGGAACACAACCCAGCUUUGUCUCUGGACUUGCAGCUGUAUUUGCUUCAUAUUACAAUUUCAACCUCCAGUAUCAAGAAGAGGCUGCAUGCACCCUUGAGUUUGUUCAAAGACGAUUUCUUGACAUCAAUCCUGAACGAGGGUCCAAGGCCAAGCAAGGAAAACUUGUAUCUAAGAAGACUGGCCGAGUAGUCCAAAAAAAGAAAAGCUCAGUAAACCCUCAUGUUUCCUCUCUACUUCGUAAGAUAAUGGACUUUGAAUGGAAUUUUGUCUGAGUUCAUCCAAGACCACUUUCUCAAUGUUAAUUUUGACAGUUUCAGUAUUUAUCCAAUAUGGUGUUCAUAAUCUGUUCUAAUGUAAAACUCAAGAUUGGUUCACUUUUAAAUUUACCACUGAACAAUACACUUGUUUAUUGAGUGAG